GGGGUUAUUUUUACCUGUCCUAGCUACAUGUGUUAGGAGUCUGUGUUACCUUAUAGUUAAAAUUCAGAACAUAAACAGCCAGGAUUCAUGUGUAGUUUUUAUUCUGGCAGUUCAGUCUGAGACUCCAAGCAGGUGACUUUGCUUCUCUUUCCCCUUGUAACGAGUGAGGAUUUUACAGUCAACUUUUUGUGGGUUUGGCAGUAUAGUAAUUAGGUAGUCUUGUAUUAUUUCUGAAAUCAUUGGUUGGAAAAUACUUGAAUGUGGUUCUAAAACCAAAGGAUGGCAGUACAAUUGCUGAAUGUAUAAAGCUGAACAAAUUUGAGUUGAAAUCUCGGUGCUGUGACUUCCAGUUCAUGAGUUGUGGUGAAUUAUUUCACCUCUUUAAGCUUGUCUGCUAAUUUCUGAAAUGAAGAUGAUAGUGUUUACCUGGUAAGGUGUCUAUACAGAUUAAAUGAGAUGUGAAUAUUAAGUAGUACUGGAGUGAGUAUGUGCUUGUUAUUUUGUUGCUAUUUUAAUUGGUGGCUGCUGCUGCUGCUAAGUUGCUUCAGUCGUGUCCUACCCCACAGAUGGCAGCCCACUGGGCUCCCCCGUCCCUGGGAUUCUCCAGGCAAGAACACUGGAGUGGGUUGAUGACUAUGAUGAUGGUAAAAAGUGAUGAAAUUUUAGAUGCUGUGUUGACUGCAAGAUGUCUGAAGAUGCAAAUGUCUAGGAACUGUUUCCUUUACUCUCUUUUUUGAUGUGGUUUCCCCUGGCUCCACUUUACCAGUUUCACCCUGACCUGUAGUUGAGAAUCAGCAAGAUGACAAUUUUUUUUUUUUUACUACAGACUUGUGUAUAAACUAUAACAAUAGCCAUUUCCAUUAAAAUCUGCUUUGUGUGCUGUAACGUAUUACUUUUUCCUUUAUGUUUUAAACAUUUUUGUUCAUGACUUUUUUCUUUAAAAGAAAUUUUUGGAAGAUAGACCCAUUUUCAGGCUUAGUGAAAGACAGUAUUGUUACUGUGUUUAUUAUAUUUUCUUAUAGUCAUGAAUUUAGGUCAUACAUAUAUAUUCACUCUCAUAAAGCUUCACAUGAUCACUGUGAUUUUUUUUAGCCAAGGUUAAGUUUGUUGACUGUGCCCACUGAGCCCUGAAAAAUAGCAAAACCAAUUGUCUAAUGUGUUUCAAUCUGUGGCCCUGUCCUUAUUAGCUCACCAUUAACAAAAUGUCUCACCAGAAUGAGCGAUAAGACUAGUGUAUUGUUGAUUUGGAACUUGUGCACUCAUUAGACAUGACAGAAGGAAAUGAACGAGUGCCAAAAGUAAAAGUGUAGAUUUUUAAUUAUACAAAACUGCAGUACAUGACUGGCACUCACACUGUGUAUAAAACUGGUGACCUAUGGGAUGGUUUUUGACAAUCAGUGACCUGAAAGAUGGUGCUGUGAAAGUGCUGCACUGAAUAUACCAGCAAAUUUGGAAAACUCAGCAGUGGCCACAGGACUGGAAAAGGUCAGUUUUCAUUCCAAUCCCAAAGAAGGACAAUGCCAAAGAAUGCUCAAACUACCACACAACAAAUAUAAACAAAAUUAACUAUAAACAAAUGGAUCUAGUAACACAUAUGACAGAGCUCCUCACUGAAAACUACAAAGUAUCAUUGAGAGAAACUUUAAAAGAGCUAAAACCAUAGGCCAUACCAUGUUUGCAGACUGGAAAUCUCAGUAUUGUAAAAAUGGCAUUUCUCUUUAAAAUCUAUUCAAAUAAUCUAUUGGCUCAAUGCAUGCCAAAUAAAAUCCUAGCAGAAUUUGUUUUUUUGUAGAAACUGAUAAGCUUAUUCUAAAGUUUAAAUGGGGUUGCAAAGAGUUGGACACCAUGGAGCAACUAAGCACAUAUAGAGAGAAAGAGCAAUCUUUCCAUAAUUUAUGCAAUACACA
ensembl:lincRNA